CAGAGCCUUUCUGUGAGAGAAUGGCACCUACUUCCAGAGAAAUGUCAGCAAAAUAGGCAAUUAAUAUGAGUUGUCAGCACAUCUCAGAGGCAGAAGAUUAGGUCUCUCACCAGUUUUAGAACCCAUGACCACCCAAGGACUUGGGAGCCAUCUCUUUGAAAUAAACUCAUCAAAGAAGAGAAUAUCUCUGUCGAUCUCUGUAGGAGGAUGGAAGCCUAACUUCUCUGCUCCAUUUUGUAAAAUCCCUCUUGUCAUAAAGCGGUUCCUCCAUCAGCAUGGAAUGAAAUGACAAUGAGCAGAGUGAGAACCCAGCCAACCAGAAAUUGACAGGCACUGGGAGUACUCUGUGGAACCAAACAGACAAAUAAGCAAGAAGCAUGGUUCCUGCUCUCACUAAACUUAUAGACUAAUACAGGGGAGAAAACACCUGUCAAAGAAUCAGCAAAUAAAUGGACCGUCACAACUGUAAUAAACAUUACCAAGAAUAUUAUAUUAUGGGAGGAACUGACCUAUCUAGAUUCUUCUCCAUAAAAUAGGGAUGAUACUGAUACCUAUCUCCCAACAUUACUAUGAAGAGUAAGAGAUACUAUAUAUUUUUUUGAUUUUUAAAAAUGUUUUAUUUAUUUUUGAGAGAGAGAGAGACAGAGUACAAGUGGGGAGGAACAGAGAGAGA